rnacentral:snRNA from 1 species
AAAUGUGCUCUUUUAGUAUUUCUCUAGUAGGUUUCCCCAAGGAGAAACCUCC